ensembl:lncRNA
CUUGGCCCAUGGAAUCACACAAACUGAUGAGAGACCAGCGUCACAUGGAACUACACAAACUGAACUUUCAGCAUUACAUAGAACUACACAAACCAAGAAGAGGCCAGCAACCCACAGAACUACACAAACUGAAGUUUCAGCAUUCAAUGGACCUGCACAAACUGAUGAAAGACUAGCAUUGCAUGGAACUACACAAACUGAAGAGGGACCAGCGUCCUCUCGAACAUUACCCUCAGCCUCUCCUCUGCCUGGCGGUGCUGCCACAGAGCAUCAGAAUCCAGUAGAAGAACUGGGAUUGGGACCUUCACCUGCUGAGGAUGUUACUGAAGUAGCAGGGUGGGUCAAACCAGACAACAUAGAGACCAGCAAAUCAUCCGACUUGGUCAGUCCUCAACAUGUAGAGAAUGCACCAAUACCAGAAUUGGUCAGUCCUCAACAUGUAGAGAAUGCACCAACAUCAAGAUUGGCUUGUCAACCACAUGAAGAGGC